rnacentral:rRNA from 1 species
UACGUAGGGGGCUAGCGUUGUCCGGAUUUAUUGGGCGUAAAGAGCGUGUAGGCGGCCUGACAGGUCUGCUGUGAAAACUCGAGGCUCAACCUCGAGAUGUCGGCGGAAACCGUCUGGCUAGAGUCCGGAAGAGGAGAGUGGAAUUCCCGGUGUAGCAGUGAAAUGCGUAGAGAUCGGGAGGAACAUCAGUUGCGAAGGCGGCUCUCUGGACCAGCACUGACACUGAGGCACGAAAGCGUGGGGAGCAAACAGG